rnacentral:lncRNA from 1 species
UGGAAAACAGGCAUAAUGCCAUUCAUUUGACAGAUUUUUACAGAUGAGGCAUUCUGAUUAUUUCAGGUCAUGUUGUCACACCAUCCUGUGAGGCCUUAACAUCCCUCUUGAUUUCCCUCCUUUGAGAGCAAGUGAGCUUCCAAGGAUGCCUGCUGCUUAUUUAUGGUUUAGUUCAGGCUCUUAGCAUUGGCUUUUCCUCCACCCAAACUAAGAGCUUUCAGUGUGGAGGGGCUGCUGGGCUCAGAGCAGGAGAGGCGCUUGGGCACCAGUGAGUGGCUGGAGCUGAGGGCCCACUUCCUCCCUUCCAGCUUCCUGCAUGUGGCUCUUGCAGCUGCCAGCUCAGUGGGAGAAGAAACUGCUCAGCCGUGUAGGAGGCCUGCUCUGCACUUGGGGACUCAGGGCUGCAGGCCACGGCAACAGCUUCUGGCAUCUCCCCGCUUCCCUACUGUCCCCUCUGCAGCACACCUAUCACCAUAUCUGUGCAGCUGGCCGAGCUCUCCGUCCUCAGGUCCCUGUUCACAUGGAGUGUUGA